GAAACGUUUUCAGAUGAAUGAACUAAAAAGAUGAGAUGCCAUUGACUACCUUGAGGAACCAUUCGGUAUCCUUCGAUAUUAGCCCAACAAACAUCCAGGAGGAAGCUAGGCGAAGACGACAUCAACGAUCUCGACCAGAAUCCGGGGAUUUUAAUGUUGCUGGACGAGGUA